CUUUCAAACACAUCCCAGGCAUUAAAUUCGGAUCAGGCGACAAGGCUGUUUGAUUUUGGUCGUUGCUGUGUACAUCAGAUGCAGUUGUACAGCAAAUGUCGCGCCAGCCCAGGCCUUACCUACAAGUAUAGGCCAUGUGCACCGUUAAAACCUCCAGGAAAAACCAACCCCUUGAGGCCCAGAUCUGGGAUGCCCUCACCCACACAGACCGGAACAGAGUCCAUCCUCGAACUAGUCAGACUUACCAUGUACCAUUUAAACUGACUAUACAAUAUAUAUUUCAAAGUUA